GGCCGGGUAGUGCGCAGUGAUACAACACCCGCAAGGGGAAAACUGCGAGCGGUCUAUGAGCCGUGUUGAAGUACCUGGCCGCCCCU
rnacentral:ncRNA from 1 species